AUAUAUAAUACGGUUAAGGAAUCCUGCGCUCUCCUUAAUCCGGGGUCCUACGUGGCAUAUCUAAGAAUUCACCAUUCAAAAUCCCUGCAAUUCUAGAGCCUCUAGCUCAAUUUUCUAUCGCUGACGUGGCAAUAUAAUUCCACAUCACUUAUUUUAUUUUAAAAAACACAAAAUCUAACAUUUCUCUACCCCAAUUCCCAAAACCUAAAAUCAAUUCCCCUUCUUCCAUCUCUCGCAUCCGAUUCUCCCCUCCCCGCCGCCGCAAUCUGCCCUACUGCGCCCCGCCCCUCCACCGCCACGAUCUGCUUCGCCGGACCACCUUCAAACCUGAAACCCUAAUCUAGCGCGCCUCCACAAUGUGCACACACUUGCGCCCCUCUUCUUCUCUCCUCUGAGGCGCGACCAGACCCCGUCGCACCGCAUUCGGCCGCCGUCGCGUCGCCCCGCUCGCCGUCACGCCGCGCCGUCGCGACCAGAGCAGUCCGCCAGUUGCGCGCUUGGAGCAGGGGAUGAUACAGUCAGGUUUAUGCUGAGUUGGCUUCAAAGUAUCGUGUUCAAGUUUUCAAGACUUUGAAGAUCAAAGUGGGGAAGAACUUGACAUCUGAUAUUGAAGUUCUUAAAGCUAUACGCACAGUCCAUUCUGAUUGUUUGUUCAUUUUAGAUGCUAAUGAAGGUUAUAGCUCUGAGGAAACCAUUCAAGUUCUCCAAAAAUUACACGAAAUGGAGGUAAUGCCUAUUCUUUUUGAACAGCCAGUUCACAGAGAUGAUUGGAAGGGUUUUGGUCAUGUUAGUCACGUUGCAAAAACCAAGUACGGGGUAUCUGUUGUUGCUGAUGAAAGUUGUCAAUGGGUCAGCCCCUUUUCUACUUGUAGUUGUGUUGCAUGGAUGAUUCUUUUGGGCUAUCUGAUAUUAUUUUUCUUUGCUUAUAGUUGGUACUAAAAAAUGAUGCUAUUUUGAUGCCAAAAAAUAUCUUCCUGGAUUGAUGUCAUUUUAUCCAACGGUUUGCUUCAAAAGGAUGACUAUAUUAUGAUUUUUGUUUAUGGAAAUCGAAUCACCAAAGUAGGUUGUAUCAUUCUGCAAACCAACAUAUUAGAUCAUCUGCUUUGCCAUUUGCUGGGUCAGAUCUGGUCCUAAGCCCUUCACAGUGGAGCAGUCAUGUUGUUGGUUUGUCCUUCAUCUUAUACAGCUAUUCUUUUAUUUUUAUGUAUGUUCUGAUCAUACUUGCAAUUGUGUGCUUGAGCUUCUGUAAUCAGGCUCAGCCAUGCCAAGGAUAUCAUUAUAAAGCAUAUACAAUAUUAUGAUAUUGGCUGUAAGUAAGCGAUUGCUUUACUUCCCUGUUUUGCCGUGGCUGAGAUCUCCGAGCACAUCACCAACAAAGUCUUCGAGCACUGCAUAAAAAGGGGUUAUGGAAUGCAAAAUCGUCCAUGUUUUUGCUAAAGCAUUUUGUUUAUCUGUGUAAAGCAUUGAACUACAGUUGAUAGUUGAUUGGACUACAGUUGAUAGUUGAGUAGUUUUUGAGUUAGAUUUGUUGUUAUGGUGUAUUAAUCUUUGAGGUAAUUUUUGUAAUUAUUGCAACUGAACUACAGUUUAUAGAGGAUUUUGAAGGUUCUCUAUUACAAGUUAGAUUAGUUGUAGAGCUCAUAGAUUAAACUUGGUCGUCUCUUUUAUCUUUUUGUUGUGGGGAAGGUUG